rnacentral:rRNA from 1 species
UACGGGGGGGGCAAGCGUUGUUCGGAAUUACUGGGCGUAAAGGGCGCGUAGGCGGUUUGCUAAGUUGGAUGUGAAAACUCUGGGCUUAACCCAGAGCCUGCAUCCAAAACUGGCAAACUUGAGUACUGGAGGGGAAAGCGGAAUUCCUGGUGUAGCGGUGAAAUGCGUAGAUAUCAGGAGGAACACCGGUGGCGAAGGCGGCUUUCUGGACAGUAACUGACGCUGAGGCACGAAAGCGUGGGGAGCAAACGGG